AUACUCGCCUGGCAGGGUGCGGAUCGUGAUCGUGAAGGCGGUCUCCCAGGCCAGGCUGAACCCGUGGCACCCUGAUGUGCUGACCCCUGUGAUUUCCCCAAAGGGGAGAAACUCAGUUGCAUGAUUUAUGGUAGUGGGGGGCUGCGUCCAUGCUUUUCUCUG